rnacentral:lncRNA from 10 species
GAGCCUUAAAAGAGACUGGGCUCUUCCUGGAGAGCGAUUGGAAGUCUGGGAAAUUUGAAGCAUGAGAAGAUUGAAUUCGAGACAGAUUUGGCUCCGUUGUUGGCUGUGGACCACAUGGCUAGGAGUAAGGGCAGCCUCUAGGAGUUCAGAGCAUCUCCCAGGUGACAGCCAGCAAGGAAACAGACUUCAGUCCUAAAACCACAAGGAACUGAACUCUGCCACAACCACAUGAGCUUGGAAGAAGCCCCGAGCUCCAGGUGCAAGUGCAGCUGACCAAGACCUUGAUUGCAGCCUAGAGAAAACCUGAGCUGAGUACCCUCCAUGGCAUGCUUGGACUUCCAAACUACAGAAUUGUGAGCUAAGAAAUGAGAAUUGUUUUCAGCUUCCAAGUUGGUGGUAAUUGGUUCUGCUGCAGUAGAAAUGAAAUCAAAUUCUAAAUCUGAAUUUUCCUGGGUUUAAGGAAAUCCAGUAAAUGAUAUUCCCACAACUACAACCAAAUAAUUAUCUUGGAAACUAAGUAGAAGGUCUUGUCCUUGCUGCUCCAGUGUCACUGAGGGGUGGCAUGACUUCUCUGUAUGUCAGCUUCCUGGGUCAUAAAUGAAGAAGCUAGGAAAAGUUUGCUGAUCUUUGUUCAAGGGGCAUCUAAUUGUGUAGGGGUCUCUUCCUACCUUGUGGAUACCUCCCAGUGAUGGACUGCCCUCAAGACUAAAAACAGCCCAUUUACCAUAGAUAUAUGUACGUGGUAUUUAC